UGCCGCAUAACUCAGUGGGUAGAGCAUGGCGAUUACUUCAAAAUAUAUUAUCUGCACAGGUUCGAAUCCCGUCUGUGGCAA